GCGCCCUUAGCUCAAUUGGAUAGAGCACCUGAUUACGGAUCAGGAGGUUGGGGGUUCGAUUCCCUCAGGGCGUACCA
rnacentral:tRNA from 3 species